UCACUACUUGCGUAGGCAGUCGAUCCAGAGUUCCCACCAUUACGUGCUGGCAACUGAAUCCAGGGGUUGCGCUCGUUGCUGGACUUAACCAAACACCUCACGGCACGAGCUGACGACAGCCAUGCAGCACCUGUACUCCGCCCCUUGCGGGUAGCCGGCUUUCACCGGUUUACAGAGCCUUUCAAGCCUAGGUAAGGUUCUUCGCGUUGCAUCGAAUUAAACCACAUACUCCACCGCUUGUGCGGGCCCCCGUCAAUUCCUUUGAGUUUCAGUCUUGCGACCGUACUCCCCAGGCGGCGAACUUAACGCGUUAGCUUCGAUACUGCGUGCCAAAUUGCACCCAACAUCCAGUUCGCAUCGUUUAGGGCGUGGACUAC
rnacentral:misc_RNA from 1 species